CGGGCGGCCGUGACCCUGCUGGAGUGCGGGGGGGACCUCCAGCCCCCCGGGGGGUCCCUGACUCUGCUCUGCCGCGGGAGUGGAUUCGAUUUCAGGAAUUAUGGAAUGUUCUGGACCCGCCAGAGCCCCGGGAAGGGCCUGGAGUUCGUGGCGAGUAUCUACAACGAUGGUGACACCACCCACUACUCACCGUCGGUGCAGGGCCAGUUCUCGAUCUCCAGGGACAACGGGCAGAACUCGGUGACGCUGACCAUGAACAACCUCAAGGACGAGGAUUCCGCCGUUUAUUUCUGUGCCAAAAAUGCCCGUCCUGAUGCAAACGUUGGUGCUGUUGAAGAUUUGGGUCAGCACUGGGGGUUGUUUUCAGCCCGGGCGGAUUUGGCGGGACAAUGUGGAUUUCAGACGAGCUGGCUGAGUUCUGGGGCCAAUGAUUGCUUUAGAGGGGCAAGCGUCACCGAGCUCUGCCCGUCGUCGGUGGCCAACGUGAACCGGCCCUUGACUGACGGCGCGUAG